UACGGAGGGUGCGAGCGUUAAUCGGAAUUACUGGGCGUAAAGCGCACGCAGGCGGUUUGCUAAGCUAGAUGUGAAAGCCCCGGGCUCAACCUGGGAUGGUCAUUUAGAACUGGCAGACUAGAGUCUUGGAGAGGGGAGUGGAAUUCCAGGUGUAGCGGUGAAAUGCGUAGAUAUCUGGAGGAACAUCAGUGGCGAAGGCGACUCCCUGGCCAAAGACUGACGCUCAUGUGCGAAAGUGUGGGUAGCGAACAGG
rnacentral:rRNA from 1 species